CCAGACUCCUACGGGAGGCAGCAGUCGGGAAUAUUGCGCAAUGGAGGAAACUCUGACGCAGUGACGCCGCGUAUAGGAAGAAGGUUUUCGGAUUGUAAACUAUUGUCGUGAGGGAAGAAAUUGACAGUACCUCAGGAGGAAGCUCCGGCUAACUAUGUGCCAGCAGCCGCGGUAAUACGGAAGGUCCGGGCGUUAUCCGGAUUUAUUGGGUUUAAAGGGAGCGUAGGCCGCAUGUUAAGCGUGCCGUGAAAUGCCGUGGCUCAACCAUGGCACUGCGGCGCGAACUGGCUUGCUUGAGUGCGCGGAACGUAUGCGGAAUUCGUGGUGUAGCGGUGAAAUGCUUAGAUAUCACGAAGAACUCCGAUUGCGAAGGCAGCAUACGGCAGCGCUACUGACGCUGAAGCUCGAAGGCGCGGGUAUCGAACAGGAUUAGAUACCCUCGUAG
rnacentral:rRNA from 1 species